rnacentral:rRNA from 1 species
GCUAGCUUGACUGCGAGAGUGACGGCUCGAGCAGGUGCGAAAGCAGGUCUUAGUGAUCCGGUGGUUCUGAAUGGAAGGGCCAUCGCUCAACGGAUAAAAGGUACUCCGGGGAUAACAGGCUGAUACCGCCCAAGAGUUCAUAUCGACGGCGGUGUUUGGCACCUCGAUGUCGGCUCAUCACAUCCUGGGGCUGAAGUAGGUCCCAAGGGUAUGGCUGUUCGCCAUUUAAAGUGGUACGCGAGCUGGGUUUAGAACGUCGUGAGACAGUUCGGUCCCUAUCUGCCGUGGGCGCUGGAGAAUUGAGGGGGGCUGCUCCUAGUACGAGAGGACCGGAGUGGACGCAUCACUGGUGUUCGGGUUGUCAUGCCAAUGGCAUUGCCCGGUAGCUAAAUGCGGAAGAGAUAAGUGCUGAAAGCAUCUAAGCACGAAACUUGCCCCGAGAUGAGUUCUCCCUGAGACUAUAAGUCUCCUGAAGGAACGUUAAAGACGAUGACGUUGAUAGGUCGGGUGUGUAAG